GGAGAGAGGUAGUCAGAGGCUACAUACCAAUCGCGCUACUAGAUAGCUAGUUCCCCUUAACCCUUGUCUAAGCAAGAAAAAUAACGUAUUAUUUCCCGCGAUUAGAGCUAAGUCUUAUCGUGUCCCCUCCAUUGUCAAUCACAAUUAACUUAUCUAUUGUAGGAACAACAGUGCCCACCAAAUAUUAUAGUGUUAUAACAACAUCCAAAUAUCUCCAUAAUACCUAAAUUUCCAAUGAGGCCCGCUAUUGGGGCGUUCUUAAAAACCGCCUAGAAGAAGCGCUUAUGCUAGGAUGAGUAUUAUUAACAAAACUCCCCCCAUCCCUAGAGACCCCUUAAACUAAACACCCGCAAAAAAGGAACUCGGCAAAUACAGGCUUCGACUGUUUACCAAAAACAUUGCCCCCAGACAAAAAGAUUGGGGGUACGUCCUGCCCAGUGACAUACGUGUUCAACGGCCGCGGUACCCUAACCGUGCAAAGGUAGCAUAAUCACUCGCCUUUUAAUUGGAGGCUGGCAUGAAUGGAUAAACGAGGGUCUAGCUGUCUCUUUUGCGCCAAUAAAAAUUAAACCUUGAGUGAAGAUGCUCAAAUGAAGAUGAGUGACAAGAAGACCCUGUUGAGCUUUAUUCUCCCGUUAGAGCACCAGUACACUCAACGAAAAACUGCUAAGUCUAGCGAAGAAUUUUGUUGGGGCGACAAAGGGAUAAACGAAUCUCCCUCGAUAACCAAGACUCUCGGUCUUACAAGUGACCCUAACUGGACCAAAAGAUUAAGCUACCACAGGGAUAACAGGCUAAUUCUCCUCGAGAGCCCACAUUAACAGGAGAGUUUGGCACCUCGAUGUUGGCUUGGGGACACUUGCACGGUGCAGGAGCC
rnacentral:rRNA from 1 species